rnacentral:rRNA from 1 species
AGCUUGCUUUUAAGUUAGCGGCGGACGGGUGAGUAACACGUGGGCAACCUGCCUGUAAGACUGGGAUAACUUCGGGAAACCGGAGCUAAUACCGGAUAAUCCUUUUCCUCUCAUGAGGAAAAGCUGAAAGACGGUUUACGCUGUCACUUACAGAUGGGCCCGCGGCGCAUUAGCUAGUUGGUGAGGUAACGGCUCACCAAGGCGACGAUGCGUAGCCGACCUGAGAGGGUGAUCGGCCACACUGGGACUGAGACACGGCCCAGACUCCUACGGGAGGCAGCAGUAGGGAAUCUUCCGCAAUGGACGAAAGUCUGACGGAGCAACGCCGCGUGAGUGAUGAAGGUUUUCGGAUCGUAAAACUCUGUUGUUAGGGAAGAACAAGUACAAGAGUAACUGCUUGUACCUUGACGGUACCUAACCAGAAAGCCACGGCUAACUACGUGCCAGCAGCCGCGGUAAUACGUAGGUGGCAAGCGUUGUCCGGAAUUAUUGGGCGUAAAGCGCGCGCAGGCGGUCCUUUAAGUCUGAUGUGAAAGCCCACGGCUCAACCGUGGAGGGUCAUUGGAAACUGGGGGACUUGAGUGCAGAAGAGAAGAGUGGAAUUCCACGUGUAGCGGUGAAAUGCGUAGAGAUGUGGAGGAACACCAGUGGCCUAUGCGACUCUUUGGUCUGUCACUGACACUGAGGCGCGAAAGCGUGGGGAGCACACAUGAUAUACAUACCAUCAGUCGUCCACGCCGGAAACGAUGAGUGAGAGUGUGAGUAGGGUUGUCCGCCUCUCUAGCGCAGCAGCAUACGCAUAAAGCA